AUAGACUCACGAUAGAGAAGACUUAAAAUUGUUUAUUCUUAUCAAAUCACACAACAUGAUGUACAAGUCUUGUUUUAAAUGGACACUGAAAUAAUUUUUCGAAUGUGCAAAUAGUUAUGAAUUCCAUGUAGAUAUUACGCGGAAGCAGCUUCAUCUGACAAAUCCUGUUUGGUUGGAAUCGAAAUGGCUAAUACAUCAUCUAGUUUUGACCCUACUACCAUGACUUUGGCACCUUAAAAAUUAUAUAAUUGUAUAAUAGAGCAUAUAAUAAAUAUUUAAUGAACGCCAGUCCACAUAAGA